rnacentral:rRNA from 1 species
GUCCACAACCAUACCAUCCUGAACGCUUCCUGUUUCAUCUGAUCUUGGAAGCUAGCAGGGUUGGACCUGGCUACUCCUUGGAUGAGAGAAACAUUAAAGACA